rnacentral:rRNA from 1 species
UACGAAGGGGGCUAGCGUUGCUCGGAAUGACUGGGCGUAAAGGGCGCGUAGGCGGUUUGCACAGUCAGGCGUGAAAUUCCUGGGCUUAACCUGGGGGCUGCGCUUGAUACGUGUGGACUGGAGUGCGGAAGAGGGUCGUGGAAUUCCCAGUGUAGAGGUGAAAUUCGUAGAUAUCGGUAGGAACACCAGUGGCGAAGGCGGUCUCCUGGGGCAUUCUUGACGCUGAGGCGCGAAAGCUGGGGGAGCAAACGGGG